ACAGAGCAGUCUCGCGACUAUUGUAAAAGGGACAUUUCAAUCCUAUGUGAAACAUCCUCUUUGAGGGUAUAUAACCACCCUUAUACCCCCACUUCUUUGGAGUGCUCUGUUCCUUUGUGGAAAGACUCUCCCGGGUUAUAAUCCUCAGAUUUAAGCUCAGAAUAAACUCACCCAAAUUUUCAUUUAUAGAUUGGAUAUCGAUUAUUUUCGUCGACAGUUCUUGGCGUAGUCGCGGCAGGAUUUCAGAGAAACCCACCAGAGGCCACCUGGAAUCUACACUGAACCGGCAUUCGGUACCAAUAAGGGCCCAUUGAGCCCCCCGGAUCACUGCAUUCUUCAGGUGACCUUGAGAAGUCCCAGAACUAAAGGAUCAUGGACUGUAACCUGAAGAAUUUAUUUAUGGAAAGAGACAUCAAAUAAGACUCUUUGCAGCCCUGUUGAAAAGGACAAUACCAGGAGGAGAAGAAGACGACAUCUGUUGUAGACAGCUGUCCCAGACUCCGGACCAGGCCUGUA
rnacentral:lncRNA from 1 species